CUGCUUCUCCCAUUGUUCGGUUUUGAGGAAACUGUGAGGUAGCAGCUUGGGUUCUUUAAGACUGGUAGUUCUGAACUGGUUCCUUUGUUUUUCCUCUUAGGAUAUAUACUUGGUGCUGCUCAUAGACACAAAGGGAAGGUGGCAUCUAUCUAUCUAUCUUGCUCCCACUUCCAAAAGAAAAUCAUCUGAUUACUUCGAUCUCUUUGGAGCUUUUGGUUCCUGGCACCGAAGAGAACACACACACACAGAAAAAAAAGUUUCUUCUAUGUUAAAUUAAAACAAAUUAAAAUUGAAUUAAAGAAAAUGAAAAUAAACUACCCUAAAACCCACCAUCAACCACGAUAAGCAAUUCCCUUCUUCCUGCUCUGCCAGGCCACAACGCCAGCCUACACCUCGCCCACAAAUCUCUCACCACCUACUCCCUUCACUCGCACAAAUUGCUGCUAUGCUUCAGUUUUCUCCGGUCGUCGCUCCCUUCGACUGGACAGCCUCGAGAAGGGUCUUUCGAGGACAUCUUGUCUUCAGCUUAGCUACGGGCAGUUGCAGCUCCUCACGACCCCACUUCGACCUUCCUUCCCAGUGCCAAGGAGUCUCCCAGUGGAUUCCGAAGUAGCAGCAACAGCCGAGGUCGUCCCUCAAACCGGUGGUGAAGGAGACCCUGAAUUUCCCCUUCGUGCUUCUCUCGUCAUCUCACGCGAUUCCCUUCAACAUUAGCUCAAAGGAGAGUUGAUGCGGCAGAAGACCUGGCAAGUCGGUACCUGAAAAAAAAUAGGUUAUGACGGCCCUAUCUUGAAGGAAAUGGCCUUCGCCGUGAUUUUUCGAUAUUUAAGAAUCAACAGUAUAGAGGGUCGUAGUUCCGGUAUUCGAGCGCGAAUCAACGGGUCUGUGACGGUUACUCGCGUUGUACGCUGCGUCAAGAGUACAUAUGGCUUCAGUGCUCAUAGCGGUAGCUGCGGUUGCACUAUUGUUCACCGUUGCUUGCAAGGAAUUACUUUUACUAAGUGAAGGCCAAGUUUGGAACUCUGCCGUCUGAGUUCACCCUACAAGUUGACACGAGCAGCAGCCUAUCUUGGCUCAAUUGCAAUGGCCCCGCAAUUCAUUCAAUUCCAAUCAGUUUAUGUACAAGCAAUACAGAACUUUAUGACUCAUCCAAGAUGAUGGCACGCAGGCCAAACUUCUCAGCAAAAACAGACCCACCUACCUUAAAUCUGAGAUUAGGAAAAAUCCGCAUUCUCUCUCCGACACAUUUCAAGACUUUUUGAGCCAGACGAAGAGUAUAUAAUAUGAAAACCCUCAUAUUCCUUUCAAGCCAGAUGCAGUAUGUAUGAUUUGACCAAAUCAGCUCCAGUAUGAUCUUGUCUAGCUUCCUUCCUUUUUGAGCAAGAAUCCAGUCUGUUUCACUUUUCCAAUCAGCCUGAGACCAACAUAUUCCAAUCCGGCUCAUAAUCAAAUACUUUAACUGUACAAGAGAAAAAUAAAUGGUCCCUUGUUUCUAUGGCAGCUUUGCAAUAUUCACAUUCAACAUCUUGAACUAGAUUCCGCCUGUGCAAUCUUUGCUUUGUAGCAAGUUUAUCAUGCCACAAAAGCCAACAUAUAUAUAAUAGAAACACGAGGGACGCAACCAUAUGACCAGACCAUGCCCUUUCAAUUUACUUUUGUACCUCGAGGCCUCAAUAUCUCCCAAGCACUAGCAAUAGGGAAGAACCGAGAUUCUGAAUUAUCUUGCCUCGAGCAUUCAACUCCGACGGGUCUUUCACUGCAUUAAAGUUCCCAAGUAAGGUCCAAGGACCAGAAACCAUGUGAAACAACCGCUUCAAAUCAUCCCAUAACUGCUUCCUCUCUUGUGCGCUGUUAGAUCCAUAAACAAAUGUCACAUGAAUCUUCCCUCUCCCUUCAGGUAAGUCUACCAGACAGUGAAUAAACUGGCUUGAUUUUCGAACAACAGUUAGAAAAUAAUAAUUAUUCCAAUAACUCCAUCCAUUUACUCAAAACAUUAGUAGCUUGAGCCUCUUUUGCUCCUGUUUCAAUGAAAAAGCAAAGGUCAAUCUUUUGUUCUCUCUAAACGGGAAGUGCUCCCUCCCCGGUGCAUUUGGUUGAGCGGACAAGGUAAUGAGUGGAGGGACUGUGUUCUACAUGGAGAUGCUUCAAUUCCUUGAAGCCUUCUCUACGCAGCACAUGGAUGGUUCUCUUUGUUCCAUCUGAACCAUGCAGAUGAAGAUCUUCAGUCCUCUUCAAAGUACAUUGGAACCAAUCUUCAGAGAGGAUACCAUUGCCUUCCAACUCGACCUUGAGCGUUCGCUGCUCUUUGUAUAUCCCAGACCAGUCCCACGUAUUGCCAAGGAACACUCUACUUGGUUAGUGUCCCCGAGAAUGCCAGGUCUGCACAAACAUGUUGACAUCAGGAACAAGAAUGGCUAGGUUGCUUAAAUGAGACAAACUGUUCAACUCAGCAAGACUGGGAUCAGUUUGCUCUUCAUCUCCUUCUAAGGGAAUCUUUCAGAUAUAGCUCUUCCAGUUGAACCAACCCCUCCAAUGACCCCGGUUUAAUCACUUCCAGUCUCGAGCAAUAGCUCAAGUAUAAUGAUCUCAAACCUGUCGAUUCCCCGACUUCUUUUGGCAGUCGAGUGAUGUCAGGCUUAUGGAGCUGAGCACGUGUAGGUUCUUAAGAUCCCUCCAGAUCAUAGCAGUAAUCAAAACAUAAUGUUAGCAAGUUUUUCAGGUAUUGGGUCAACAAUGGUAAGGGAUCCAGUUAUGCAAGGGUGAAAUCCAAGACCUUGAGUUUUGGCAUUAACGUGAAGAAUAAAUAUGGGACCUUCAGGAGACGGUCUUCUUGUGCAAAGAGGACAAGUUUCUCCCAUUCUGGACAUUCCCAUGUACAUGACAGCUCCCGAAUAUCAGGAUAAGGUAAGAAGAUCGCCUUGCUUUCACAUGACUUGACGUCCGACUCUUCCAAAUCCUUUUCGUCCCGCAACACCAGAGCAUGUUGAUAUCUUGGCUGUUCUCUGAGGGCCUUAGACUGAGUUCCAGGGCCUUGUGUUCGCUGUCAGAUACCUUGAGUUUGUCCAAUGCAUCGUCCUAGUAUUUUGGCGAAGCGCUCUCCUGCAACACUUCUGUGAGCCCAUCGAUCAGAAAAGGCAAGCCUCGGCACCAACCAAAGCAAAGCAAAUGCUUCAACAUGUUGUUCAGCAUGGCCACAACACUUCAAAGAUCCGCAAUUUUCCCCAAUGAAAUCGAGCUGACGAGCUAUCUGGGGAGCACAACACUUCACCGUUUCAUAUAUAGACUCGGAAACUGAAGACCUUUGGCAAGCGCAAGAAUGACAGCUCCUUCCUCGGAAGCACCAUAGUCCCUCCAAACUUCGACGCAACUUCUCGAAUGUCGACGCGGAGCUUGGCAGGGAAGUAGCACGAGAUAGCAUCCAUGAUUUUACUAAUAACUUCGGCUCUGCCUGUGGCUCUCCUCAGGUCAGCUGAACUCAGCUUGUGUGCUGCGUUCCACGUGGUGCCUGCACACACGAAAUCCAACCGUUUGCUUCCACUUUUCGUUAAAAAAAAUACGAUGUAUAUAUCUUACGGCUUGUCUAGCUAGCAUGACGUCAGUCAUGUCGUGCUGACACCGAUUUGGCCUCUGAAGGGUGACUGGCAAUCCAAUCGAA